CUAAGGGUGUACGGUGGAUGCCUUGCUAAACACAAACGAUGAAGGACGCCGUAGCGGGCGAUAAUCACGGGGAGGUCGCAAACAACCUUCGAUCCGUGAGNNNNNNNNNNGGGGAAACCCACGUCAACGCGAGUUGGCGUAUCCUGCAGUGAAUACAUAGCUGCUGGAGGAAGACCUGGGGAAGUGAAACAUCUCAGUACCCAGAGGAAAAGAAAUCAAUAGAGAUUCCCAAAGUAGUGGCGAGCGAAAUGGGAGAAGCCUAAACGCACAUUCCGUGAACGGAGGUAAGGGUCGUCUUCGGACGUAUCAUGACUCUCGGGAAAGGGAUAGGCCGAUGCGAUGUGCGAGUUGUGGGGCACUACAAGACAGCGCCUAUUUGCUGUCCGUAGAAGCUGCAGUAUAGAAGAACAGGCUGGAAUGCCUGGCCAGAGCGGGUGAAAGCCCCGUAUUCGAAAUACUUCAGUCUAUGCGCGUAGUGUUCCCGAGUAGGGCGGGACACGUGAAAUCCCGUCUGAACCCGGAACGACUAUGUUCCAAGGCUAAAUAUUGUGUUUGAGCGAUAGUGAACAAGUACCGCGAGGGAAAGGUGAAAAGCAGCCCGAGAGGGCGAUGAAAUAGUUUCUGAAACCGUACACUUACAAAGAAUCAGAGCUCAAGCGCGCGCAAGCGAGUGCUGGGUGAUGGUGUGCCUAUUGAAGAAUGAGCCAACGAGUUUAUCGACUGUUGCAGGUUAAGCCCCUCUGGGGUGGAGCCACAGUGAAAGCGAGGAUUAAUAGUCCGUUUGUAGCAGCGAUAAGACCCGAAACGGUGUGAGCGACCCAUGGCCAGGCUGAAUGUUUUAGAAAUAAAACAGAAGGGCCGAACCAACCAGCUGUGCAAAACUGGUGGAUGAGCUGUGGGUAGGGGAGAAAUUCCAAUCGAACACCGUGAUAGCUGGUUCUCCUCGAAACAUCUUUAGGGAUGGCCUCGAGUAUUCCCGCCGGAGGUAGAGCUACUGAAUGAAAACAGGGGCGCAAGCCUACUUUUUUCAACCAAACUCCGAAUGCCGGCGAUUAACAACUCGGGAGUCAGACGGUGGGGGCUAAGCUCCAUCGUCUAAAGGGAAACAGCCCAGACCAUCAACUAAGGUCCCCAAAUCAAUGCUAAGUGUAAAAAGUGGUUUUGUAGCUUUGACAACCAGGAUGUUGGCUUAGAAGCAGCCACCAUUCAAAGAAAGCGUAACAGCUCACUGGUCGAGCCGCAGAGCGCUGAAAAUAUACCGGGGCUAAGCAUUGUACCGAAGUUAUGGAUGCAUGAAGGAUUCGUCCGACAUGCGUGGUAGAGGAGCGUUCCAUUCAGCAGUGAAGUUGGACCCGCGAGGGCCGAUGGAGCGAAUGGAAGUGAGAAUGUUGGCAUAAGUAGCAGAAACGGGUGUGAGAAUCACCCGCACCGUAAAUCCAAGGUUUCCUGGGCAACGCGAAUCGUCCCAGGGUUAGUCGAUCCUAAGCUCAGGCCGAAAGGCGUAGGCGAUGGAAGAGCAGGUUAAUAUUCCUGCACUAUGAUAGUGGAGUUUUGUUCGUGCGCAUCUUCAAGAUGAGAGCGGAAUUUGGUUAUGACCGUAUCGCAAGAUCGAGGUGAAGUCUUCGGAUGGAUCCAAGUUUGGUCAAGAAGGUGCCUAGAAAAGCGCGCAAAACGUUGAAAUUAUUAUAACCGUACCGGAAACCGACACAGGUGGAUGGGCAUGAAUAUGCCAAGGUGUACGAGAGAACCCUCGUUAAGGAACUAGGCAAAAAAGUAGGCGUAACUUCGGGAUAAGCCUUACCUCUCGCAAGAGAGGUCGCAGCGAAAGAUAUCAGGCGACUGUUUACCUAAAACACAGCUCCAUGCGAAACCGUAAGGUGAUGUAUAUGGGGCGAUGCCUGGCCAGUGUCCGAAUGUUAAGGUGAGGGGUUAGCCGCAAGGCGAAGCCUUAAGCUGAAGCACGGAUGAACGCCGGCCGUAACUAUAAACUUGACCGUUGUAGUUAUCAGGAUGGUAAAACGUCAAAAGCAAUUCGUGUUAAAUCUGGCUAUAUGCUGGAAACCCUGCGCAUAUCAUCGUACCGUAAGGUAACAAUCGGUGAUCGAUGCAGACAAUCAGCAGGAAAGAUCGGAAGUAAUUCCGAAAUCCUCAGAGACUAUACGCCAGAGCUCGUCCGUGAAAGCGGGGUGCGAGUAUGAUAUAGUCCGAUCUGCAUAGCGAUAUGCAGAGUGGGUGCAAGUAAUCCCACCAAUCAUGAAAAUGAUUCGUAACAGACCUUGAACGGUCCUAAGGUGAAUAAAAGCUGCCUUAGUAAAAUUCGACUAAAUGCUGGAACAACUGGAGUAUCUUGUGCUCCUAAGGUAUAAUCCCACCAUAGAUUAUGCCAAGGAAUAAUGCACAAGCGUUUCCGAGUAAGGAUCGGAAGCCAGUCAAUCAGCAGGAAAGACUAGAAAUGAGUGGUUGGAUAGUUGGAUUCACUGAUGGUGAAGGCUGCUUUUCGGUGAGCCUCAUUCGAAAUGCCACAACCAAAAUUGGUUGGCAGGUAUUUCCUGAGUUUGUAAUAACGCAAGGUGCGAAGAGUCGUACAGCACUCGAAGAAAUUCAAACUUUUUUCGAAUGUGGAAGGAUCUAUGAAAACCGGCGAUAUGACAAUCAUCGAGAGCAUCUAUUGCGAUAUUGUGUGAGAUCACUUCGUGAGCUUCGAGAACGGAUAAUCCCUUUCUUUCAGCGUUAUGAAUUGAAAACACAUAAAAAAAAUGACUUCAAAAAGUUUUGUGAAAUAAUUUCUCUUAUCGAGAAUGGACAUCACUCUACUCACGAAGGAGUAACAAAAAUCG
rnacentral:rRNA from 1 species